rnacentral:rRNA from 1 species
AGAGUUUGAUCCUGGCUCAGAACGAGCGCUGGCGGCGCGUUUUAAGCAUGCAAGUCGAACGGCAGUCCGGGUAGCAAUACCUGGGCGAGAGUGGCGAACGGGUGAGUAACACGUAGGUGAUCUACCCCUGGAUGGGGGAUAGUCCGUGGAAACACGGGGUAAUACCGCAUGAGGCCUUGGGGGUAAAGCCCUGAGGUGAAAGCUCCAACUGGAGCGUCUGGGGAUGAGCCUGCGGCCCAUUAGGCAGUUGGCGGGGUAAUGGCCCACCAAACCGACGAUGGGUAGCCGGCCUGAGAGGGUGUACGGCCACACUGGAACUGAGACACGGUCCAGACUCCUACGGGAGGCAGCAGCUAAGAAUCUUCCGCAAUGGGGGAAACCCUGACGGAGCGACGCCGCGUGGACGAUGAAGGCCGUAAGGUUGUAAAGUCCUUUUGCAGGAGAAGAAUAAGCGGGGGAGUGGAAAGCCCUCGUGAUGACGUUAUCCUGCGAAUAAGCCCCGGCCAAUUACGUGCCAGCAGCCGCGGUAAUACGUAUGGGGCGAGCGUUGUUCGGAGUUAUUGGGCGUAAAGGGCGUGUAGGCGGCCCGAGAAGUCUGGUGUGAAAUCGCAGGGCCGAACCCUGCGGGUGCGCUGGAAACUGUCGGGCUGGAGUCCCGGGGGGGAAGCUGGAAUUCCUGGUGUAGGAGUGAAAUCUGUAGAGAUCAGGAAGAACACCGGUGGCGAAGGCGAGCUUCUAUUCGAGGACUGACGCUGAGGCGCGAAAGCGUGGGGAGCAAACAGGAUUAGAUACCCUGGUAGUCCACGCUGUAAACGAUGUGCACUAGGCGUGGGGCACGUCGGUGCUCUGUGCCGUAGCUAACGCGAUAAGUGCACCGCCUGGGGAGUAUGCUCGCAAGGGUGAAACUCAAAGGAAUUG